CCUCCACAUGUGGCAGUAAGAAUUCAAGCCCUGGACACACAAAAAAUACAUUGCAGAGACGCCAAACUGGCAGAAGAUCAGCAUGUUUGGCGUGAGAUCAGAGAAACGUACGUUUGCAAUGAAAACAAAGAAGUCAGUUCAGAGGAGCCAUCGAUCGGCCCGUCAGGAGAGGAGCUGCAGGGGGUGGACGCGACUGAUAACUGGGAUUUCCUUUGUCUGAAAAUCACUAAGCACUGGGGCAGUAACACAACUACAGCUGAACAGCAGAAGCAUGAGGGGCUUCAUGGCGUCCAGCCUAUCAGACUAAACAGUGACAGCCUUCUGAGAACUCACUUCAGCUCCACCUUCAUCAAUCAAUCGCUGCUUACAGGCCUUCGGAAACCAAAAUAAACAACUUGCCAACGAGAAACUGGACCGUGUCAUGAAUCUAUAUGGAUCCAGGGGCCAUGAGGGGAAUGAAUGAAACGUGACGAUCAUUCAGGACUGGAACAAAUUGGGGGCGAAUAAAUGACGACACCUUUUCAUUUUCAUUGAAUACUCCUUCAAGUGAAACCUGAUGAUGACUGAGGAGCACAAAGCUCCUCUGGUGCACCUGCAGUCCAUCACUCGCUCCUGGAUAUAUCAGCUCACUGUUACAGGUGGCUGGAGAAACACCUGUACAGAAGACAAAAAUUAGAAUUUCAUGAAAUAUAAACACAUAAAUUCUCUUUUUGCUUUGUGACAAGGUUAUUGUAAUCUUA
ensembl:lncRNA